rnacentral:rRNA from 1 species
GGCAGCAGGGGUAGCAAUACUCGCUGGCGACCGGCGCACGGGUGCGUAACACGUAUGCAACUUUCCUUCAACUGGAAGAUAGCCCGAAGAAAUUCGGAUUAAUAUUCCAUAGUUAUAUGAAAUGGCAUCAUUUUAUAUUUAAAGCUCAGGCGGUUGAAGAUGGGCAUGCGUUCGAUUAGCUAGUUGGUGAGGUAAUGGCUCACCAAGGCUACGAUCGAUAGGGGAUCUGAGAGGAUUAACCCCCACACUGGUACUGAGACACGGACCAGACUCCUACGGGAGGCAGCAGUAAGGAAUAUUGGACAAUGGAGGCAACUCUGAUCCAGCCAUGCCGCGUGAAGGAUGAAGGUCCUAUGGAUUGUAAACUUCUUUUGAACGGGAGAAAACCUUCGGUCGUGUACCGAAGCUGAUAGUACCGUUAGAAUAAGGGUCGGCUAACUUCGUGCCAGCAGCCGCGGUAAUACGAAGGACCCGAGCGUUAUCCGGAUUUAUUGGGUUUAAAGGGUGCGUAGGCGGAAUGGUAAGUCAGUGGUGAAAUCUUGUGGCUUAACUGCAAAACUGCCAUUGAUACUGCCAAUCUUGAGUACAUUUGAUGUGGGCGGAAUGUGCCAUGUAGUGGUGAAAUACUUAGAUAUGGCACAGAACACCGAUCGCGAAGGCAGCUCACAAAACUGUUACUGACGCUGAGGCACGAAAGCGUGGGGAUCAAACAGGAUUAGAUACCCUGGUAGUCCACGCCUUAAACUAUGAUUACUCGAUGUGUGCGAUACACAGUACGCGUCUAAGCGAAAGCGUUAAGUAAUCCACCUGGGGAGUACGGUCGCAAGAUUGAAACUCAAAGAAAUUGACGGGGGCCCGCACAAGCGGAGGAGCAUGUGGUUUAAUUCGAUGUACGCGAGGAACCUUACCUGGGCUUGAAAGUUAGUGAAUGCUGUGGAAACAUGGCAGGCCGCAAGGACACGAAACUAGGUGCUGCAUGGCUGUCGUCAGCUCGUGCCGUGAGGUGUUGGGUUAAGUCCAGCAACGAGCGCAACCCCUAUCUUUAGUUGCCAGCGAGUAAUGUCGGGGACUCUAAAGAAACUGCCCGUGCAAACGGUGAGGAAGGUGGGGAUGACGUCAAGUCAGCACGGCCCUUACGUCCAGGGCUACACACGUGCUACAAUGGCGAGUACAAAGGGCAGCUACAUGGUGACAUGAUGCUAAUCUCUAAAACUCGUCUCAGUUCGGAUUGAAGUCUGCAAUUCGACUUCAUGAAGCUGGAUUCGCUAGUAAUCGAAUAUCAGCAAUGAUUCGGUGAAUACGUUCCCGGGCCUUGUACACACCGCCCGUCAAACAAUGGAAGCUGAGGGUACUUAAAGUCGAUAACCGCAAGGAGUCGCCUAGGGUAAAAUCGGUAACUGGUGUUAAGUCGGAACAAGGUA